rfam:Fukomys damarensis contig74161, whole genome shotgun sequence.
UGGAGUGUAGCUUAAGGAUAAAGCACUUGCCUAACUUGCAUGAGGCUUUGGGUUCACUCCCCAGUACCACAA